UUACGGCCAUAUCACGUUGAAGCACCGGUUCUUGUACGAUCACCGAAGUUAAGCAACGUCGAACCUUGAUAGUACCUAAAUGGCCCACGGCUUGGGAAUAGCAGGUAUUGUAAG